rnacentral:lncRNA from 1 species
GGAAUAGCGUCAUCAGUUCUAUAAGAGAGCGUGUGCCGAAAGCCUCGGCCUUUCACAUUCGGGAAGCGUCGGGAUUAGGUGAAAGUACGCAGUUGUCUUUCGUAAGUUAAAAUGAUAAUUGAGCCGAAACUUACUGCCUUACCUAAAAGGCAGCGCAGUCAGGAUAUUGGUAGGUCGGGGGCGGCUUUGGAAACCCUUAAGUUUACAAGCAUGCGCGGACUUGAGUGCUCAUUAGGUCGCCGGACGGCCACAUGCAGCCCUGGACCCUGAACCCCGGCGUGCGUGGGCCGUGGGCCCUCGGGGAGAGGUUCCGUGCAGUCGGGGACUCCGGGGAAGCCUGUUUCGCCGUCUGUGUCAUGUGGCCAUCUUGAGUCUACUCUGUCGCUCUUGUGCCAUAGCACCCCGAGAACCGUCAGUUUGAGCCAGAUGGAAGCUGAGCUGAACAUAUUACGAUGGAUGAUGGAAACAUAAGACUAUCAAGAAAUCCAAAGUGGUAAUGGGCGAAGUUUAUUCAGCAUCCGGCAAUGGACUUAUCGUAGCUGGGGAAACAGGUGUUCCGAAUAAUAUCCUGGACGUUAUCAGGACACCUAUUUUAAAUAUAGGCCUGAAUUUUUUAAAGUAAUAUUUAAGGUGGUCCGUGAUAAUUAAAUAAAAUGCUUAAUUCAUGUGGCUA